rnacentral:rRNA from 1 species
GACGAACGCUGGCGGCGUGCUUAACACAUGCAAGUCGAACGGAAAGGCCCUGCUUUUGUGGGGUGCUCUAGUGGCGAACGGGUGAGUAACACGUGAGUAACCUGCCCUUGACUUUGGGAUAACUUCAGGAAACUGGGGCUAAUACCGGAUAGGAGCUCCUGCUGCAUGGUGGGGGUUGGAAAGUUUCGGCGGUUGGGGAUGGACUCGCGGCUUAUCAGCUUGUUGGUGGGGUAGUGGCUUACCAAGGCUUUGACGGGUAGCCGGCCUGGGAGGGUGACCGGCCACAUUGGGACUGAGAUACGGCCCAGACUCCUACGGGAGGCAGCAGUGGGGAAUAUUGCACAAUGGGCGGAAGCCUGAUGCAGCAACGCCGCGUGCGGGAUGACGGCCUUCGGGUUGUAAACCGCUUUCGCCUGUGACGAAGCGUGAGUGACGGUAAUGGGUAAAGAAGCACCGGCUAACUACGUG